rnacentral:tRNA from 1 species
GCCUAGUUAGCUUAGUUGGUAGUGCGUCUGCCUUGUAAGCGCUAGGCCGCGGAUUCGAUUCCCGUCCGGGGCG